GACGAACGCUGGCGGCGUGCUUAACACAUGCAAGUCGACAUGAGUGGCGAACGGGUGAGUAAUACGUGGUUAACCUGCCCUACUUUUUGGGAUAAGCCUUGGAAACGGGGUCUAAUAUCGAAUAUAGGGGGUUGGGCUGGCGGAUAGUCAGCUUGUUGGUGGGGUGAUGCGUUACCAAGGCGGUGACGGGUAGCCGGCCUGAGAGGGGGACCUGGAACAUGGGGACUGAGAUACGUCCCAGACUAGUACGGGGGGGAGCAGUGGGGGAUAGUGGACAAUGGGUGAAAGACUGAUGCAGCGACGCCGAGUGGGGUAGGAAGGGUGUCGGGUUGUGAACCUCUUUCACUAUCAAACGGGUAGGUAGAGAAGAAGCACCGGCUAACUCCGUGCCAGCAGCCGCGGUAAUAC
rnacentral:rRNA from 1 species